rnacentral:lncRNA from 1 species
AGGACUGGUGUCAAACUGUCUCAGAGAAUUUUGUUGUUUUUUUCUUAGCCAGAUGUGUGAGUGAGAUAUGGAGUAGUACUGGCGUAUGGUAUCAGCUCCAAACCAAGGGAGCUGCAAGUUGCAAGCCUUUGUUUUACCAGGUUCUGAGAGAAUUCUAUGUAUGAUGGUGCUGUGGACUUCUGCAGCAGUAAGCUGUGUCGGUGCUUAAAAAUUGAGAUUUCAGGAAGAGCAGAGAAGUUUUGGAGGGGAAGAAAUGCAAGAAAUGCAUCCUGGGAGAAAGUGGAAAAGAAAAAUUGUUUUCAGGUACUACUGAUAAUUAAGGCAGCGAGGCUGCAAUCUGGACCAAAGAGUGAAGUUGGAUUCACACCAGUAAGAUCAAAAGACCUGAGGACUGGACUAUAACACCCAAACUGAGUGAUACCAAAUGGACUCUUAAGCAGAGAUCAAGCGGUAAUGAACUGAGACAAUCCAAAUGAUCCAAGGGAUGAGCUAAGAAUCACGCCUAACUGAGAAGUAAGAGCAAGCCUGUAUCAGUAGUUUCAAGUCCUGCCUGGGACAAGUUCUGGGACACAUUCAAUAUCCACCUUGAGGGGGAAAAACUCCCACUCCAAACAGGAGGAUUGGGGCUGUGUUGGUUGGGAGAUCCUCAUAUUUUUUUGCUUUUGUCUGUAUUGUGUAUAAAGGAGGGGGAAAAAUCACAACUUCCAUCAGUGCCACAUCAUACACCUUGUCUAAAUCAUCCCAAUACGAGACAUGCUAUCUGGAUUAAAUACAAAUACUUAAAUUAGAGAAAAAUAGGUAUUGUGGUUCACAAAGUUAAGCCUCUC